ACUCAAAGGAAUUGACGGGGACCCGCACAAGCGGUGGAGCAUGUGGAUUAAUUCGAAGCAACGCGAAGAACCUUACCAAGGCUUGACAUGGGGAUGACCGGUGUAGAGAUACACCUUUCCUUCGGGACAUCCCGCACAGGUGGUGCAUGGUUGUCGUCAGCUCGUGUCGUGAGAUGUUGGGUUAAGUCCCGCAACGAGCGCAACCCUUACGUUUAGUAGCCAGCUUAUGCGCACACUAGACGGACUGCCGUGGAUAACACGGAGGAAGGCGGGGACGACGUCAAAUCAUCAUGCCCCUUAUGUCUUGGGCAUCACACGUGCUACAAUGGCCGGAACAGAGAGAAGCAAAGGGGCGACCCGCAGCAAAGCUCAAAAAACCGGUCUCAGUUCGGAUUGUAGUCUGCAACCCGACUACAUGAAGUUGGAAUCGCUAGUAAUCGCGAAUCAGCAUGUCGCGGUGAAUACGUUCCCGGGUCUUGUACACACCGCCCGU
rnacentral:rRNA from 1 species